UUGCCUACCCUUCAGAAUAAUACCCGAUCCGAUUUCAGUGAAAUUAGCGAUCUCGCCAAACUUGACUCCGUCUACACCGUAGCGGACAUGGCGACAUUCUCGGAGAUUAAUGAGAACCCUACUGUGGUUUCCACUCCAUAAGGCCAAGGAGGCUGUAGUUGCUUUGCUGAAGGAGCUCUUGAAAUUUUGAGGAAAUAAUAUCAGCAGUAUGCCUAAAGACAGUGAGCUGUAUAAAGCAAAUCUGAGUGAGGCUCGUCGAAAGUACGAGAUGUGAGUAAAAGAAUCCGAAAAUCAAUUUUCUUGAUUGUUCUGAAUCCCGUAUAUAUACUUACUUAUAUCUGAUAUCUAU